AAAAAAAAAGAAAAAAAAAGAAAAAAGCUUGUUUAAUUUAAUCGCGGUUUGGUGCAACCACGCCUAUACUCUCCAAUGCCAUCUAACAAUUUCUUCUACAAAUACAAACUCGAUGAAGAAACAAUGGCGCUGUUCUUACUAAAAGUGUAAGGUUAAGAUACCUUAAUUUUAUAUUCAAAGUUUAUUUUAAAAGUAAAUUUAUAAAUAAGUUUAAUCCUAUGACAUUUUAAAGUGAUAUACUUUCGUUGUGUGUAACAAAUAUGUCGAGUUAAUACUAAUAUUUAAGAAAAUCAUUUGCAUAACCAUACUAUCUAUAUCUAUAGAUAAAUCAUAAAAUAAUAUUUUAUUCGUAAUGUAUUUGUUGCAAAUUAUUCGAUAUCAACAACAGGCUAUUUUUUCGCCAACUGCAAGAGAAUCGUUUCUAAGUAACCUGUUCAAAGGAGACUAGUUCAAUUCAAGAUAGACUUCAACUCUAUAUUUAAAAUAUCUAUUAAAGAGGAACACAAGAAACAAAAGAUUCUAUCAGACAUUUAUAAAGUUGUUUGGGAAAUAUUGGAAACAGAUGAAACUUAUAUAUUCAAGAUAAAUGUGAAAUAAGUGACAUACGAGACAAUUAAACAACAUAAUAAGAUAAGAGAGAAUAGUGAUGGUACCAUUCCAUCAUUUCCAUUUUAAUGGAAAUACUUUUUGGAGUAUCUGUAUCCAUAUAUUUGGCAGUUAUUGAUUUCUUUCUCACGCCCUAAUCGUCGCUCUGUUAAAUGUUUGGAUACCACAAUUUAUUGGGAAUAUUAUGAAUUCAGUAUAUUCAGGAAUAUAUUCAGGAAUAUCAUAAAAAUCAGUAUUGUCAAAGAUAUUCCAAGAUAAAGGAAAUGAUUCUAUAAGGAAUACUUUGGAAAUGCUUCUGAGCUCAACGUUUAUGUUGGCACAUAUGCAAGAACGUUUGCAGCAGAAAAUAGAGGAACAAUUGUAUUUUCUAAAGAAGUUGAACAUGCAUCUGAGUUAUAUGUGAAUGUAGACGAUUUGAUAUUGGUUUGUAUCAAGCAAGAAUAAAUUUGUUUUUAAGUGAUAUUCUGCUUUGUACAUUAUACUUUGCUGGUCAUUUAAUGUCAAUUGGGCAAUUAACGUGCGCCGAUCUUAUGGCAUUUUUGAUAGCAAUUCAAAUAGUUCAAAGAUCUCUCUCUCUCUUUCUCUCUCUCUCUUUCUCUCUCUCUCUCUCUUCCUCUCCCUCUCUUCCUCUUCGUCUCUCUUUCAGGGAAUAUAGAAUUUAAAAAUGUGAAAUUUAGCUAUUCAACUCGGCCAGAUCACAUUAUUUUGAAAAAUUUUAAUUUGAAUAUUCCCACUGAUAAAACAGUUGCUAUUGCAGGUUCUAAUGGAAAUGGUUAAUCAACCAUUGCCGAGUUGUUAUAACAGUAUGAUAUUUUAUAGGUAAGAUAUAAAUUUGUAUAAUAAUAUCAGAUUAUCCGUAAAAAUUUCUUUCGUUUUAUAACGAAAUAAUAUUAUAGAUGAACAACAUUUUAUGUCUUAUAUUAUAUUAUUGAAUUAUGUAUGAUCCAUUUUGUUUUAUUACCUUUCUCCAUCUCUCAGGAAGCCGCAUAAUGCUAUCUAUUCAGAAAUUCUGGGAUUCGCUAAUAUAUAAAUAUCAUUCUAGGUGUAUUUUUAUGUCAUUUAUUGUAUUAAAUUUUUUGUCGCGAAGAGAAUUUUUUUAAUGAAAGGAAUAAAUAGUAAUAUCUUCAAAAAUGAAUCUUUGGAUUCAUAUCACAUGUCGAAACACGAUUAAGGAAGUUGCUCUCUGUCAAUUGAUGCCGGAAUCCCUACUUCAGAGCGAUUGACGUAGCCGAUCUUUGUAAGAUUAUCAUGCACCAUCGUUCGCGCAAUGUUUAAGGUAUCCAGCAAUUCACAAAUCGCGGAUUUUUAACCAUGGCCUUGAUUAGUUCCGUAUACGUAGUGGAUAGGCAGUGGCUGCGUUCUUCAUCUUCCAGUUCCAAAACUCCUUAACCAACUGCGAACUGUCAAAAUCACAUCCAUGCAUGGUGUAAAUCUCAUUUGUGAUUUUAUGAUGUCAACGAGGAAAUAAUGAUGUCGAUAAUCAAUGUUUCUAUUGACAAAUGAAAUAUUAGAUCUCUUACAGGUACUAUAUUAGCGUAUAUAGAUCAAGAAUACAUGCUUUUUGCAACUAGUAUAAUAAGGAGAAUAAUAAAUAUGAAAAGCAAGAUGCGAUUGGUGAAAAGGCGAAUAAUAAUGUGUGAAUAAAAAUUUUAAUAUUUUACCAAAGUAUUUCAUUAUAUAUUAUGCAUCAUUUAAUAUACCAGAUAAUAAAAGCGACAAAAAAAGCUAAUGCUAAUGAAUUUAUUAUAAAAUUUUUAAAUGGUUAUGAAAUCCAUAUUGACGAGAGAAGUGGCCAAUUAUUUAUUAUGGUGAACAGAAACAGCCAUUACUAGAGCAUUAGUAAAGUAAUCGUCAAUUUUAAUAUUAAAAGAAGCAAGCGCAAUGGAUUAUGAAAGUAGAAGUGCUAUGAAUUAUAAAAGUAAAAGCGCAAUGGAUUCAGAAAGCGGUAGAAAAUAUAACCAGGGAUAGAAUAGUAUUAGUUAUUGAUCACAGACAAAGUAUUAUUCAAUCGAGUGAUAUUUUUGUUGGAUUUCAACAAGGUGUUACGUAGAGUUUAUGCAAAAAAAAAAUAUACGAAAUAGAUUUUGGAAGCUAAAACCAUUAAAUACGAUCAAAGAUAAAUAACAAGACUGAAACGUGAAAUUCAAAAUCAAUAAUGCAUUUUAAUAUUUUUUUAGAAAACUGUAAAAAAGUAUAAAACGUAAUAAAAGAAAUAUAAAAAAUAAUAAAGAAGUAAAAAAUAAUAACAAUAAAAUAAUAUAAUUACGAAUAAGUUCAGAUCGACAAAUAGAAGAUAAUAACAGAAAACAAGGAAACACGUUGCUAAUGUAAAAAUAGGGGAUCUCCCCGAUCGGUCAUGCAGCUACUUACUUUAAAGUUGGGAGAUCUCCCCAUUCGGUUGGCUAAAUGUUAAAUAUAAUUUAAACGUUAAUUUAAUAAUUGAAUGAUGCAAAUUUUCUUUAAAUUAAUUUAAAAAUCUAAAUUUUCAAUGUCAAAAUAAAUUGAAAUUUUUUUUUUUUCGAUAACUACGAUUAAAGUGACGAGUAAAAUAAAAACAUACAUGUUUAUUCCGUUAUUUUAGUCACUUUCGUAUUACAUUAGUCUUUUAUUAUUUAGAAUUUUCUUUUAGUCAUGAUAGUUAUUUAUAGUACUCGUACCAUAUUAUUAUGACAUAUAUCAUGAUAAUAACAAAUAUGGACACCAAUGCGAUCCAUGAGUUUUUGCAGCAUAGACCUUCCUCUCUGCUGCUCCCGGAUCUAUAAAGUCGGUACCACAAGCGAAUAUAAUGGAUGCUGAUAAUGAAAAAACAUGGUUUAAAUACCUGUCAGUUGCCGAAGAAGAUGUUUGCCCAAGCAUGGAAUGUUCACCGUUCGUCGUUGAUGUUUGGUCGGAUGAAUCGAAACUACCCGUCAUUGUAUUCAUUUCGAUUACGUAUGGCAUGCUUUUCGUUCACUUAGUACGAUUAGAUAAAAGAAUAAAUUUUCAAAGAUUGAUAUCUUCUAUAAUCGAAUUCUUUCAGAUCUCGCACUGACUGUUUGGCUGGAUGAAUUAGUUGGACACUGAUACUGAGAUGGAUGAACUUAGUUUGACGCGAAUUGCUCGAUGUAAAGUACUUACGAACGUCUGAUUCGUACGGCGUACUGCGAGCAAAUGACGAAAAGGGCAGGUCGUCAACGCAUCUCGCAAACGCAGUCGUCCUUCCCACGGGAAUGGUACCGUUGCGUCGAUUGGGGUAGGGGUAUCACUAGGUGGAUCAGAGUAGGGGUACGUGAUGGUGGGUGAAGCUUUCAGAGCUUGCCUUCUAUCUAUAGCUAGAAAUGUUCGUGAUAAAAAAAAAGUUUCUUUCCUGUGGUCGAACCAAUCCGUCGUUCCUUCAUUAUUCUCCAAUGGCUGGAAUACUUUCAUUUCGAGAAAAUUCACCUCAUCGUAUGUAUAAAUUACGAAUUAAAUCGUCCGUUUUUUACCGUUUUCUCUCUCCCCCUUUUCUUUUUUUUUUUUUUCUUUUUUUCUUCUUUUUUUCUUUUUUUUUUUCCCAAAGAUGAAAGGAUCACGUACGUAGAACUGUAUUAUAAUUUAAUGCAUUUCUAUAUAAUUAACAAUUAUAUAGAAAUAAUAAUUAAUAAUUAUUCUAAUAAUAAUUACAAUAUAUCAUUUUUAUACUAUAUAAUUUGUUUUUGUAAAAUCGUUUUUAAAAAUCUUUUUAUGGAGAUUUAUAUCCACUUUAAUGUCGCACGAUAUCAGAGAAUAUUGAUUAAGAACUCUUUCAUAACAUUGUCUUCUUUUGUUGUCAAAAGUAAAUAUUACAUAAAUCAACAAGCAUUUUUUCUUCUUUCUAAAGUAAAAGAGAAUGAAAAAUAUGAAUGCGGAGAAAUUUUUUUUUCAUAUUUAUUUUCCUUCGGAAUAUUAUCUUUUUUUCAUUUUAUUAUGAUAUGAGCGUAUCCAUAUUCCAUAGAUUAAUAAACGCUCCUGCUGUUUUAUUGAAUGUUCCCCCUAGCAAAGAGGAUUUUUUAAAAAGAAAUUAAUAUUUCUGUUUGUUUUCUCUCAUAAUAAAAGUAUCAUAAUAAAAGUUAAUAUUUACAUUUUUCGAUCAAAGAUUCACAAGACAUCGACCAAAAAUGUUACUUACCCAAAAGAUAUUUGUAUCUCCGAUUUCUUUUUUGUCAUAAUAAAAAUUAUGUUAUACGAGUAAUCAAAUACGAGAAUUAUCUGCUUUUCAUUUUUUUUUUCAAGUCCAUCAUUCCUACUAAAAUUUCAUUUUUAAGAGAGAAUAGUUACGAAUAAUCCCCUUCAUGGAAAAUAUACUUUUUAUCUAUCACAUUUACCGCAAUCCGAUAUAAUGUCAAGCUUUUAAUUUUCCAAAUUUUCGAGCAUUAUCAUCUAACACGGUUUGUUUUAAUAUCUGGAAUUAAACGAUAUUUUUUAUAUCAUUACAGCGGCGUUGACAUCAAAGCUUUGGCGUAAUUUCGAAUAUCAAAGAAGGAAAAUAGAAUAAUACGUAUUUACGCAUCUAUAUAUUUAUUUUUUGUGUUAUGAGUACAUAUUAAAAUGCGUAACGAUCAGGUUCACCGGAAUUAUACCAAUUAUACCGGAAUUAUAAACGGCUUCAAGAAUUUUUGAAGUGCUUCUUGAGAAUAUUAUAAAUCUACGUCCAGAAUUUAAAGACAAUGCAUUUCCUUUUCAAGCAUCGUACUUAUUUUGAAAUAAUACGAAGAAGAAGAAGAAGAAGAGAAAAUUUAUAAUGGCCAAUGACAACGUACUUUGACGAUAUAGGCUAAUACGGCGCAAUUUCAAGAAAAAUUCAAAUGGUGAAGCGAGAAAAUAGAAUACAUUCUUCAAAGGAUCGAAAGAUGGACAGCUUUAGUUAGAGGAUACGAUAGAUUUAGAAAAAAGAUGUAGAAAAGAUUAUCGAAGGGUCAUCAGAUGACGAUGCACGACGAUCAGCGUGUAUCAAGUUGUACUAUUACUUCGAACAAACUUAUCAUCGAGGAUUCUUCUUAGGGUCUUCUAUGCUCUCAAAGGAAGUCGAUUAAGUAGAUGUUGUAUCACAAUGAGGAAAUGUAGAACAAUUAUAAUGUUGACAGUGUUCUUGGAUAUCGAUUUAAUGAUAAUUUGGAUAGCAUUUUGUUAAAAAAAUUGUAAAUAUGAUCAUAGUAUUUAUUUCAAAAUCAUCGAUGGAAUUAUAAAUGAUACAAAAAAUCUUAGAAAAAUUAACGAUGAUUCUAAAAAGAGAAAAUUUGUUAAUCGAUGCUGAAGUAAAAGAAUUGAACAAUGAAGAUUCCAGAGAUAAAUUUAAUUCUAAUCAAAAGGAUGUUGGUGUCUGGCCUAUCAUCGAUUUUGCAAAUGUCGAUUUUUUUAUCGAAAAUAUCUAACACAGCGUAUCGACGAAGAUUAAAUGGAUGAUCAAUAAUAAUAAUAAUAAUAAUAAUAAUAAUAAUAAUAAUAAUAAUAUUAUUAUUAUUAUUAUUAUUAUUAUUAUUAUUAUUAUUAUUAUUAUUAUUAUUAUUAUGAAAAUGGUACGGAGAAUAGGAAUGAUUAUGAGAGUAGUAAGUUUAAUCAUGAAUUGAAAAAUGAGUUGAGAAAGAAUCAGAAUGAAACUAUGAAUUUAAAAAUGCUUAAAUCUGUGGGGACAAUUAAUUGAUUUAUUGUUUGGUAAGAUAAUAAUGUUUGUCCGGGAAUACUUUUAAAUGAUACGAAAAAUCUUCUGUCCACUGUAUUCGUUACCGUGUUAACAUUUAUUUAAUACGAAAUUCUAUAUUUCCAAACGUUUUUUCCAAUACUCAUCAUAUAUGUCAUACGAUAUCUGUUUCAUGGACUCUCUUUUUAAGAGAUAUACCAAAGAGAUAUACCAAAAGGAACGAAAUAGACGUCAGCAUAGAUCAAAUUUCUACUCAUCAAUUUUUAAAGGGAAUUAGAUUUCUACAUACAUAAUAUAUUUCAAAUUCUACAUACUGUCAUCCGUUUUUUCACAUCUCUUCAUUUGAUUUGUUUUAUCGUUCUUUCCUAUCGUGUCGUUGAAUAUGCAGGGAAACCGCGCUUGCGUUCUUCCGCGCCUGCGUCCCGCUUAGGAGCGCGCGGAAUUGUAUGCGCGUGUACAAAUAUUUCUCUUUCAGAAGAUUCUUAUGAAAUUUGGUUACUAAGAUAAACCUUUCCUCUUUUUUCUCCUCUCACCAAAUCAUAAUAUACAAUUUGACAAUAAAAUCAUAUUAUCGGCAUCAUUUAAUUACCUCUAAUUACUUCAUAUGUCAUUAAUUUUGUUCUUUUUAUUAUUACAUUUUUAUAAAAAUUUACGAUGGAUAUGGGUGUGGAGAAUGAUGAUCGAUACGAGAUAUAUAUAAAGGAGGAAAAAAAAAAAGAAAAAAGAAUUAUUGAUAACAUAUUAAUAUUUCUAAUGAUUUAAUGCGUAAUUUAUAUUUAGAUCUGAAAAAUAUCGUAAUAGUUAAACGGUCCGUGUUUUGGUAAAAAAAAUCAAGGAUGAAAGCUGAUGGCGUGAGGGCGAAGAAAGAGGGGAAAAAAAAACUUGGGCUUCAAAUUGAUCGUAACUUUCAUUUUUUUGAAAGAGGACAAAACAUGUUACAAGGAUACACGCUAUUCCUUUCCUGACCCAUCAUUAUACGUUAUAACAAGACAUAAUAGAAACAAAGUAAUCUGUUGUUUAACGGGAAAGAAUAAAGGAAGGAAUGGUUUUUUAAAAAAAUUUGCUAAAAGAUCCGAAGAAGAAGAAGAAAACGAUCAAGAGGAAAGAUGAACAUAACUUUCUUAGCGAUCGUAGCACUGUUGGAAUUCGAUGUUGAUGCUUCUAUUUAAUCCUUUAUGACCGAGUAUGUCGGCAAAUAGCCGUCCAAGUCUUGUUCCCGUCAUGGACGCGUGUCGGCAAAUAGCCACCCAAGGCUUUUUCUCGUCGUGAACGCGUGUCGGCAAAUAGCCACCUAAGUCUGUACAGUUACUGACACGUAUUUAAAAGCGGCUAACGUACGUCUUUCUUUCUGAGCGAUAAAAUACGCAUUGAGUAUGGUAAACUAAACGGUAUUACAUUUAUUUUGAAAGGAAAUUAGAGAUUUUGUUUUAGUUUUUAUAAUCAAUAUCUCUUGUUCUCAAGGAUAGUCUCGUCGAUCGAUGCCAGCCGCAAAAAAUAUUUAAACUUACCACAUGUCCAAAGGAUUGCACGGAGGGUUUGCACAAGAAUACCAUGAAAGCUUAUGAUCAGGAUCCAACGUGAAAAGAUCAAACGUCGAUACCAUUCAAUCUACCCUAAAUUUACAUUACUGCGGAGGCAAAGAGUGACUAUACAGCUUGGUUGUCCGUGAAUUUGCCCAAUAUUCUUACUGAUCCUAAUGACAUAUAUACCGAGUAGGUUUUUUUAGAAGCUUGUAUUAAGUACCAUUAAUAGCAAUGUCGGAUUACUGUUACGUUAUUUUCAGUAAUUGGUGUAUUUUAUGAAAAGGUACGAACAGUACAAACAGAUUCGUUAGAUCAAGAAUUGCUUAAAGUAGAAAAUUCAUUCGUAAAAUAUUGAUCCACCGAUGGUCGAUUUUGUACUGACAUCUACUGUUAUUAGCAGAUUUAAAAGAAAAUGAUGAUUCCAAUCAAAUGGCAAAAGAACCAAAUUUUAUUCCAUAAAACAUUUUCAAAUUCUAUUGAAGAAGAAUUAGUAAAGCUUUCUGAUUUCAAGGAGUUGAAAAAGAUUAUGUUGGAAAUAGAAAAAUAAAGUGGAGUACCUAGAAUAUUGACUGGUGUCAUAGGCUCUGUUGAAUCUGAUCCAGAAUAUCAAUUGAUCAUUGAAGCAAUUGAUAUAUCAGUUGAAGGAUCUAGAAAUAGUUCAUCCGCAAGCUGCAGAAGAAAAAGUAAAUGAAAUCAAUGUUAAAUACUUAUCAAAUAAUUUAUUCAAAAUAAAUCUUAAUGGAAAUUUCUGUUAUAUGUAUAUAUAUAUAAACUUUAUUAGAUUUAAAAAUAUUAUUAUUUAACAUUUAAACAAAAACUUGAUAUUCUUUUAUCUCUGACACUGUAUCAUGUAAGCGCAAAUACUGUCAAGUAAUUUAUUUAUGUCUUUUUAGGCAAUCUAAUAAUAAAUGAAGCAAUAAAAGUUUCAGACUGAUUCACUUUAGUGUGCGUGUUUGCUUGCUUGUGUGCGUGUGUGUGAGAGAGAGUACACAUUUUUUUUCAGGAAAAAGCAUGCAUACAAUAGAAUUCUUGAUUGCCAUCCGAAUACAUUGACUUUUUUACAUGAAGUCACAAUUAGUAACUCACAAUGGUAGGCGAUUGCAACAUCUUUAAAAAAAUAAAAAUAUCUUAAGUAACAAUAUUUCGUGAAUCAUUAUAUAAUAUCGAACAUACUUUUUUAGAGAUGGGUAGAGAUAUGCGGCAGUAAAAAAAAGAAAUACAAAAUAAAUUUAACUUUGAUUUUGGUAUAUUCGGGAACGUUACAUAUCGUUAAUAUAAAUGAAAUAAUAAUAAUAAUUGUUAUUAU